CGGCCCCUUGUGUGGCGGCGCGAUGGCGGCCCCGUCCCAGGGUUCGGACAUGUUUGAUGAGAUCGUGAUGGCCGAUGACAGGUUUCACGGGGAGGGCUACCAGGAGGGGUACGCCGAGGGCAGCCAGGCGGGGGCUGCUGAGGGGCGGAGGUGCGGCGGCCUGCAUGGCGCCAAAAUCGGCGCUGAGAUUGGCAGCUACCUUGGAUUUGCACUGACCUGGCAGUGUCUGCUCCCAAAAUGUACAGAUGAAAAGAACAGUAAAAAGAUAAGGGCUCUGGAUUCAUUAAUAGGAAUGAUUCAGAAGUUCCCAUAUGAAGACCCCACUUAUGAAAAGCUUCAAGAUGAUCUGGAAAAAAUCAGAGGAAAAUUUAAACAGCUCGUGCCAGGUCAGUCAGAGAGAGCAGAGCUAAUCAAGGUCUGAUUUGAGUGGCCAGCCUUUGGCUUUCAGACUGCUGUUUAAUUACCUACAAGCAAAUACGGCUUUUGCAAUCGUCCCAACUCGGCUCAGGGUUUCCUCUGCGCUGUCAGAUACACCUCUCAAGAACACCAGAGCUGGACGUGGCGUUCCUAUCAGCAAACUGCAGCACUGUAACUGCCGGUUAUUAAUGGCCGUAACGAUAGCACAGAACGGGGACGAACACCAGCGAGCAUCUUCAGGAAAUGCACUCUGAGGUUUGACCUUUAUCGAGAUUUACUGCCAGAUUAGCGACUGCGCAGCAAGCAGGCAUUCGUUCUUAAACUCUAAGGCAGAAGGAUCAACUGAGAAGAGUCACUUACCGGAUCACAUUUGAUAACUUGUGAUAGGAAAUGUGUGAGGCAUUGAUAGGAGAGGAAAGUGUUAGUGUUCCCCAGAUGCAGGCCUUGCACAGCUGCUACCACACUGCCAGCUGCGAUCAUGGAAGGUGGGUUUGAAAUAAAUUUAACAUCUGUAUGAAGAAAGAAGAGGGGAAAAAAAAAAAGAAAAAAAAAGACUGAAAUGAUUGCUGUAGAAGCCUGCCCAUACGCAUACGCUCUCUUCUCCCAGCAUGGCUUCAGCUGCCAGCUGCUGCACCCAAACGCCGGUGCUUCCCGCUCCGAGCUGCCACAGGCCCCGACCUGCCAGCACUGGUCCGGGCGGGCAGCCCGCUGUGCACGACGCCUGGUGGCCCACCAUCACCUGCAGACCUCAGUGUCCCAGCACUUUGCUUGUAAUGGUGCAGCGCCGCAGGGGAAACCCGCUCCCAUUCCCCAGUAUUGUGCACCACCAAGCCCUAGGUGUGCUCCGAGCGGAGUCCCUGGGCCGUCUCAAGCACUGACAUUCAAAGGAAUAUGGCUUUAAUGAACAGCGACAUCAGUAAAAAGAAAGGAAGAGAGAGACCGCUUAGCCCUGUCAGGAGGCAGAUAAUCCAUAUUUAAAUUAAGGUUUCAUCUUAAAAAUGCUUUGUCUCGACCUAGUCUCUUGUCAGUGGCUGCCAUCCAUCCCGGCAACAGGGAUUUAAUGUAAAUGUGGCAUAACUAAGUGACGGGGGUCCCAAGAAUUGGCGGACAAUCAGUUACAUUCUGAUGUGACACCAUGCUGACAAGAGGCUGGGCCCCCUUCCAGACUGCAGUGCUGUAGGUCUCUCCACAAAGCCACUCCCAUGAUUCCUUAAGGGGCUAUCUCUGCCAUUUAGCAUGGUUUGGGUGCGUUUUUUAAUAAGAAUAAUCCACGUUUUAAUGCUAAGACUCUUUCCGCUGAACAGGAAUGCGUUUGAUGUGUGGCAGCAUACACCUUGGAGGGGAAUCGAAAAGAAAAGGAAAAAGCGGCGCAAAACAAACAUCUGAUUUUGUGAGGAAGAAAGGGAAAUGCCACAUUAUACGCGAGAACCUGAGAUACAUUCCUUCAGCUUUUAUCAGAACACAACUUCCUCUGGGCUGAAAAAAUAUAAACCAUCUGUCAAACCCCUGAAUGAAAUCAAAGGAAUGGACAGCUUAGAGAGCUCAGUGGAACAGUCACAAAGACAUCCUUUGGUGAAAAUGGAUUUCUCGAAACUGAACCAAAUCAAACAAAUCCACUUCUACCAGCCAGGCAAGCGAAGAGAGAGCUCAGAAGGAAUUCCCCUCCACUUCACCUUGCGACGUAACCUUCUCGUUCUGGAGCAAGCACGCAUGCACACUCAUCCACAAACACUUCCACAGCAUUCACCUUGCUAAGCCAACUGGCAGAGAUCUUACUUUUUAGGCCAGCAUUAUUUUGCUGCCUCCUCUCAGGAGCCCCUCCUUCAGGAGGGACACGGGCUGUGCACUUCAAGCAGAGGACAUACUGAGCUCACCCCCGAGGCCACUUCAGCGAGUUUCACAGCGUUUCUAAUGGACUUUGGAUUGGGCCCCACAGCACAGCAUCCAGGCAACACAAGGCAUUUGCAGUCCAUCUAGGUUCAUUUUGGCAGGGGGAAAUACAACUGCAAAGCAAAGUCCAGAUGCUACUUAAGCCACAUGUUAUAUUCACUAGCCAACAAAGAAGUUGUGGGGAAAGCAAGAGGUAGAGAAAAUCCCAACAUCCAAAAAUAACAAUAAAAAUACAGAGCCCAGCGACAGCCCUUCUGUGUGCAUUUUCCCCAGGAAAUAUUCCCAACUUGAGUAGGGAGCCAAAGAAGGCCCCAGUUCCGGUGAGCUCAGCACUGUUUUUCAAAAGCUAAGUAGAACUCCCAGAACAUGGCUCUCAUUUACUGAUGCAUUCUCCAGCUGUGGUUUGUACCAGCGUUAAAUUAAGCCUCUAGAUGUGCUUCCUAGAAGGAAAUAUAACAACACCAACAGUAGAUCAAAGUACUGGACCCUUAGCGAGUCUCCAACCUUUGGACUACUCUUGUUUUCAUCCCUGUCAUUGCCAACACAACAACCUAGGUUAACUGUCCCCAUAUCCAAGGGGAGGCUGAGGUAGCAUCAAAAUCAGCAAGUUACACGUUCAGAGUCCCAGCAGCUUUACCUGGUGGGAUCUGCCAUGGAGAGCAUGUCUGAUUUUCCCGUGGUGCUUCUGCAGGUGGCGUGAAUGCUGCUGGGGGGCUGCACGCCCCAAUCCCGGAACAGUGCUUCUGCAGUGGGAGCCGCCCCACCACGCCGGGUGAUGCCAGUGCUUAUAGACGUCCCAUGAGGGCUCGGUUCUGUCUCUGGGCCUCUAUCAGUAGGCUCUGUGUAACCCGUGUUUUCUUCUCUUCUGAGUACCUGCAGAUGUCUCUUGAAUCUUUUUGCCAAGUCCGUAUCUGGAAAACGAGCUCCCCUAACUGGGCUGACCACACAUCCCACCAAGGUUUCCCAGGUGCCACUGCAGGCUUGAUAUCUUCCACACGGCCACUAACAAAUAUUAGCGUUUAAUGCAGCACAGUAUCUCCUUUGCACUACGUUUUAUCGGUGCUAACAGCAUCUGGCAUUCCUCUUUACGUGCUACUGCAAAAGAACAUUUGCUUUGGCUGCUUUUUCUUCCUUAUUCCUUUGCCAUUCGUGGAUUUGUCUCGUCAUACUGACAGCCAAGGCACCGAACGCGCCGCAUUUGAGCAGAGGAUCUAUGUUCCCUCCAGGACUUCUUUUGUCCUGCUCCUCCGCUCCGGUCUGUGGGAACCGCGAGAUCUGGAGGACAGCUUUUCCUUCCCGCUCUGCCAGGGUUCAGCGGGUGAAGCCGGCGCACGCACAAACGCACACACACACUCCGCAUGCAAACACGGAACUUCAAAGCCACGGCGCGCACAGGCACGGUGCCCUUGAAACCAACGAUCGGGGCCCUGCGGACCCAGCCUGGCGAGCGCCUGCACGGGGCCCUGC